CUGAUGCACUGUGGGGAGCACAAUUCUAAGUUUUCCUGUAGGCUACAUUUUUUAUUUUACAGCCAGAUGUCACAAUAAAAUUAUAUAAGAAGAAACGAUACAAGUAAGAUGCCAAAUUGAGAAAAAAUAAUCAGCUCAGGGAGGAGAAAAACACAUUUCGGUCUUCAAAACAUCAGCAGAAACUCUUACAGUUCCAUUAUAAAAAUAGAUUACAUUCUUAAUGUAAAGGUCUGAUAUGCUCUGUAAUAUUAUAUUGUCCUGCAUAGAGUAAUUUGGUGAAAAAACUCUAUUAUAAAUAUUCUCUUGCUAAAUCUUUUCCACUGUACCUUGUAAAUACAUAAAAUCUAUUUUCAACUGAGUUUUGGUUACCACUUUGUUGCAUUUUGAGGAAAAGCACCAUAAGGGUUGAUCAUUCUCCAUCAUAUUUGAGGGGUGAUUUUUAUGUGUUUACCACAUAUUUUGAUAAAGGGGGUCCCAGAGGCAGCUGAAUUACAGAAAUUCUGCUGAAGUCAGAGCAUUAAGAAGGUGCAGUGUUUUAGGCUUAGUAUGUGAUAUUUAUAUUGCUUAAGAUAUUUAAAUCGCUUAAGGUGGGGUUUUUUGUAUUUCAGCUGUGAGGUGGAAGACCAGGAUUCAAUUUCCUUGACCUGCAGGAAUUUUUAAUCACAUUCAUCAUUUUUAAUGGAAAGCCUGAGGUGCAACACAAGGAAGAGUGUUGCUCUCUCUUCUUGGAGACAUACAAUGCAUCUUGAAAUCUGUUCAAGGGAAGCAAAAAUAAAAAUCAUGUAGGUUGCUAAGUUGGGGAUUUCUUUUCUGGAGCCUGAGGCCACCAUGAAAAGCAGGUUUGAUGCUUUUUUGUGCAAUAUUUAUAUGCCUCUACCUGAUUGUAGAAAAACCUGUGAGAGGGAACUACUGGAGAAGGGAGUGUCCCUUGUGCUCAGCAGUCCCUGCCCUCUAGGCCACAUCUCCAGCCCCACUCCAGUGCGUGUUUGAACAUAUUGUACAAAGCAGAAAGAAUCAGACCACAGAAUUAGAGAGUUGUUUGGGUUGGAAGGGAGUUUUAAGGCUAGUCCAACCACACAAUGCAGAAAUUCACCAAUCAUUUAUGGUGCUGGGUGAAUGGUUGGACUCAAUGCCCUCAAAGGUUUUUUCCAAACCUAAUGACUCUAUGAUUUACAUGCUCCCAGGCAGAGAGAUGCAGUGAGCAACACCUGAGGCUCUGGAGUCUCCAAAACCUGAGCUGUUCCCUUCCUCAGUGGAUAAAAAUCACCUUAGUCUAUUCUCCUAUUAUCACAAAUUAUCAAAAUAUAAAUUAACCAGUUUGAAUGAAACCUUUCUGCUAAUUCAUAGGAAUGCUGUGUUAGGUGCCCCCCAACCCUCUUUUUAUUUUUAAAAUUUAUAUGAAAAGAAGUUUAUUAUUUCCAUCUUCAGUCAAGUUGAACUGGAUGUUUGCAUUAUCUUUAAUUCUGAGGGGUGGACAAGGUUUCAGCCCCCAGACAGUUUUUCAUUUUGCACAGACAACAGGAUCAGGCACAUGGUGUGAGUUUAUAAUCCAAAACAGUGCCAUGGCAAGUUCUACAUGAAAACCUGUUCUGAGAGAGCAAGAACACAUUCCACUCAAUAAAAGAAUAAUAAAGUGUCAGGUAGGAAAUAAAUAUUGAAAUGCAUUUCCCACCAGGGAAAUCUCUCUGCAGUAACUAAUUUAGAUGGAGAAUAAAACAAAAAGGCCCCAUAUCUCAACCUUAGCAAUAACCUGUCACCAAGCACCACUCACCUCUUGUCUCUGCUCAGACCUGACGCCUGCAUGGGAAGAAGAGGUGACAACUGCUUUGCUGUCUGCCUUUAUAAAUCAAAUCAAAUCGUAUAAAUCAUGAAUGAAAGGAGUUUUGCAAAAUAAUAACAGUGCAUUAGGGUCCCUUGGACAUUCUUGAGCAGCAAGGACAAGGUUUUUCCUCGCAGUGCUGUCAGUAGUUGUGUGAGAUACCACAGGUGAAGGGGUUGCUUUGGAAUUCCAUCACAAAAUGAAACCAUUCCCUGGAAAACCAGAUAUUGCCCCUCUGUGAUCACAGGGAAGGUCACAGCUCUCUUUUUUUGUCUCCAUUCCCUGGAAGGAAUAAUGGGGUGAGCAGCACAGUGCCUUUGCAGCAAAUGGAAGGAAAGCACUAACAGAAAAAAGAAAAAGUGUGAGGAAGAAAAAGCCAGGAUCACUGUUCCUGCCUGCAGAAAGUCCAUGUCUGAGUUGUCCCACUCUGGAACAUAUUUCCUUCAUCCCUGAUGACCUGGAGUAAACAAACAAGGCCUUGUCACAGUCCUUCCCCAAUGUCACCUGUCAAUGUGCAGAAUCCAGAAGAUUCGAGUGACCCUUUCCUAAAGGCUUAAAAGGGAAUUUCCCACCAAUUAAACACCAAUAUCUACCCUCCCAGAUGCUUUGUACCCUCUGGAUAGGUUCUUCCUCCAUCAGGACUCUUGGAUAACCUCUCCCAACCCUUCAGUGCCUGUUUCUCUUUGCUGUGCUCCACAAGGCAGUCCAAGCACAAGGCUGCUGCUCUCACAGAGACCUCUAGGAUUUGGUUGUGCCCACCUGGGAAUGCCUGAUAUGACCCCCAUGGGGCUGAUGGAGAACAGAAAGGAGAAGUUCAUUUCUGGGGCAGCACUGGUAGUGACUGGCACAUGCUUGCACACUUGAAUAUUCUGUUUUCUGUAUUUUCCUUAAAAUAUUAAUAGGGAUGUUCAUAUACCCAUAAAUAUUAAUAUAUUCUUACAUUAAUAAAAAUAUAAAUAUGCUUAUAAAAUAGCUUUUCGCUGAUGAUGCAUGCCUGAGUUUCCACAGACAAAGAGCAAAUCUCAUCCAUCCAGUAUGAGAUAAGAUGUAUUUCUACAGCCUGAAAAACAACCUCAAAAAAUUAGGGUUCUCUGCAAAUGAAGGAAAACCAUUUUACUGCAGAGGUAACAUCAGUCCAGAAAUAUCCAUGACUGCAGGUGGAAACACCUACACGGGAAGCUGUUACAGAUAUGCUCUUGGCUACCAUGGGAAAUAGGGAACUGUAAACAGAGCAUUAUUGAUCUCACUGGUUUUAAACAUCUGAACCAGUGCAGGACAAAUGGUUCUAUUGGAAAUGUUGCACCUCUCCAGUAAUUUUUUAAAAAGUCCAAAUAUCUCCAUCAAGAAAGAAAUGUCCUGUCCAUUCCUGAAUUCCCAGUGGUAAUGCAUAGCAAGAACUGCUCUCACCACCCUCACCUACACCUGGAGUGAGAGAUUUCUUCAUCUCAUGCUCAUUUUGCUCUGGCAUCUCAUCAAUAUCUCUUCAUAAGUCCCAGGGAUAAGGAAACUUGUUUUCCUGCUACACCUGUAAAGCAUGAUGUAAUUUUAUGUGAAUGAUGCAUUAAAAUAAACAACUGUGUGUUCCUGUGUCUAAAGGGUCUCAAGCCCAGAAAAUAAAUUGCCCAUCUCACUUUACAGCUUUACCACUGGCACCUUGAAGAAGUGGCUCAUUAACGAGUGAAGGAGGAUGCAGAAGGGGGGGAAAUCCAAUUUCUAGCUUGCAGUAUUUUGCUAAAAACGUUGAUAACAAUUUCUACUAUUAGUCUCUGUCAGAAAUGCCAGAGUCAUUACUGAGCUGGUGUGGCCAGAGGGCACCCUGCACCACAGCUCACUGUGGAGUCUGAAUAAACAUUACCAAGCACUGAAAACCGUCUGUGCUGGAAAGUUUUCAAGUCAUUAGAGGAGCACUCCUCUCUAUUGGUAGCAGAUAGUUGAGCUGAGAGGAACUCUCACCUUCUGCUUUCCAUUUCUGAGCUAAAUCAGUGUGGUUUUGUUGUUGUUGUCCCAGCCUGACUCUCUGCAGGUGAGACUGACUGAGACACACCUGAGGGUCUGACCCAGGCAGCAAAUUCCAUCCACACAGGGUCCCCUCUGAGCACAUCCACUCUGGGGUGGGAAUUCAACAAGCUUUCUCCAUCAGGAGGUCAGGACUUGGAUGUGAAGAGAGAAGGGUGCUUGGCUGGCAUGCACUGAGCUGUCAAUCCACAUCAAAAAUCUGUAAGCUGUAAGCUGUGAGUGGCUGCUGUGCCUCCACCAGGACCAUGCACCUAAGAGGAGCAGGAUAACAUCUUUGAAAGUGUUCCCAGUAUUUCAGACAAAUCACAGAAUAUCCUGAGGUGGAAGAGACCCACAAGGAUCAUCAAUCCCAGCUAUUGGUCCUGCACAGACACCCCAACAAUCCCACCACGUGCCUUUUUCUUCCUUCUGUGUGGUUUAAAAUCCUGGAGCUCACAUUGCCCAGGGAUUUCCAUAGGAGCUGGGUACUGAAGGGACACUGUGAAUCCGGGUUUAGAUUUUCCUGAGCACAAAAGUCCCCAUCAGCUGCAGCAUCCAAGAGGCUCGAGAUCUACUGUCUUUACUGCUGACUCUCCUCUGUGUAAGUGAAGCAAUGAUUCACCUUUUGGACAUACUGCAAGGAUUAGUUAAUGUUUGGGGAAGCGUUUUAAUGAUAUGAAGUGUGGUAAAAAUGCUAAGUAUUAUUAUUGUUCCACUUUGUCUUCCACUUAAAUAUAAAGAGGAAUUGUACAGCUAUUUCCCAAGUGUCUCCCAAGGGUGUUUCUAAAGCAAUUAUGUUGGCUGACACUUUCAAGCCUCAGAAAAUGGAAACGAUUCAGAGGCUGACCAAUCAGCCCCUUUACCAGCAGAUGAAUCUAACGACUUCAAAGCUAUUCAUUAAGCAGUCCUAUGAAUUGAUUACAUAAAUUAGCAUGCUGCUGACAAGGCAGGGAAGGGAGGAGAAGACGGCAGAGGAGGCCGACAUAACACAUCCCUCAUUUGGCAAAGACAGUGGUUAUUAGGGGCCCAGAGCUAAUGAAAGAGACAGAUCCAUUAGGCACGUGUCGCUGGAGGGGAUUGAUUGCUCCCCCUGAAAAAGGGCUGCUCCUCUUGCUACUGGAGGAUUAUAUUUGUUCUGGCUUGUUGAUCCAGGGACAACCAUCACAUUUAACAAAAAAACCCUGUAGUUUGUAAAGAGAAAGAAAGGAGAUUAUAAACUUGCAUCAAAACCAUUAUUGAAAUCUUCUAAGCCCAAGCACUGCAAGGCAAGUUGGUUUAUUCGUUAAAAGGGAAGAUAUGUGAGGAGGAUUUCCUGUCUGAAGCACCUGUAUUUGGGAGAAUUAUAGUCAGAAUUACUGGAAACAGGAAGUUUUAAAUGGAAACUGUGAAUGGAAAAAUCUGACUGGUGCAGAACCCUGCCUUCAAAGAAAACCACUUGUCCAGGCCUAGCACAAUGCAAAGUCCACUGCAUGGUGCCCUAAGUUCAGUAAGUCUGGACCUAAGGUGGGUCAACCAUGAGCUGUCAACAUCAUCUCUCCAGGCAAAGCAAGCAUCGCUUCAGAGAGCUACUGCCUCCCAUGAAAAGUGGAGAGAGAUUGAAUAAAACAGUUUGAUUUCCAGGUUUUAUCCAAUUUCUACAUUCAGGACUCUCUGGACAGUCCUGCCAGUAUCUCCCUGUUUAGUUUAGCCCACAUCAUGCCUGUGUAUCUCUAAUUAUAGGCAUAUCCUUGUAUUUUUUUUUUUUUUCUUUGGUGAGAAGUAGGUUUUUCAUCCAUUAGAGCUUCUUCUGGCUCUGCUUUAGGGGAAGAUGAGUUGAGUCAUGAUUUGAGUAAUCUCUAAUUAGAAAGAUACAAGUGUGUUGUUCAGCCCUUCACACCUUCAAGUAUAUGCUUAAAUUAAGCACAUGUUGAAGAGCUCUUCUGAAUCAGGAGCCUGAGCAAGCUCAGGCUGAAUUUUCUGAAAUAUAUCUGAAAAUUGCUGUAAUCCAUUAUUCCAAAUGAAGCUUGGGCAAUGAAACCAAAAAAAAAGCUCCUGGAAAAAGCAACUCUUAAGCAAAACUCAUGUUCUGAAAAUUCUCCUUGAUGAGUUUGAUGCUGCUGCUUGUCUGCAGGAACCAACACCUUGUCAUUUGGUGACUGAUGUCUGUUAAAAUAUUUUGUUCUCUUCAAAGAAGGAAUUGAUCUUCUUUAAAGAAGGAAUUACUCUGCAGUGUCGUUACCAAAGAGGCAGGAAUCCAGGAUGUGACAUCCAUUCAGAUUUCUUCCAAACUUGCAGGAAAAUGUUGUGAUUUAAAAAGGAAACCAGUUGCAAGCUGGAGAGCAAACCUCCCCACAGUUCUGGAUGGCUUGCUGGUUUCUGCUGGAGGAAAACCUGGGUUUGAUGGAUCACCAAGAAAAUCCAUUGUGGCAACUGAACGCUGGUGGCAGCUGCACCAAUUUAGAACAACUGACUUCUUGUGUUGCAGUAAAGAAUUCAGCAAGAUCAGGAACUACCAGAGCAUCAUUAAAUCUGGAUAUUUAAUGGAGCAUCUUUGUGAAACAAUUGAACUUCAGAGAGGAUUUUUCUGUCCUUCACCACUGAAGUAAUUUGGCAGAUUUGUUAUUAACCAAGGAAAAAAAAAACAACUGGGAUAGAAUAUUUUGCUAAGUCAAGCUACCUUGGGGUUACACAGAGCCUGCUGCAUUAUGCAGUUGUUCCUUUGCAUAUUUCAUUGGCUCUGGGGAAAUAUUAAAAUUUGUGAUUUCCAUAUUGCCAGAUUAUCGUACACUCUCCAGUGAUUGUUCUCUCUAUUUUUCAUAAUCUGUCAAUUUUCACACUAUUUAAAAAGACAAUUUGACUGCCUUAAUGCCAGAAAAAUCUCACAGGGUAUUUUCUUUCUUUUUCCUUCCUCAGCCAAGGAAAGGCUAUUUUUAGGACUAGAAACCUUUCAUUACCAUUCAUUGAGCACCUUGCCUUGCCAUUGCAGAUAA
ensembl:lncRNA